rnacentral:rRNA from 1 species
AGUGAACGCUGGCGGUAGGCCUAACACAUGCAAGUCGAACGGCAGCACAGUAAGAGCUUGCUCUUACGGGUGGCGAGUGGCGGACGGGUGAGGAAUACAUCGGAAUCUACUUUUUCGUGGGGGAUAACGUAGGGAAACUUACGCUAAUACCGCAUACGACCUGCGGGUGAAAGCAGGGGAUCUUCGGACCUUGCGCGAUUGAAUGAGCCGAUGUCGGAUUAGCUAGUUGGCGGGGUAAAGGCCCACCAAGGCGACGAUCCGUAGCUGGUCUGAGAGGAUGAUCAGCCAAAAUGGAACUGAGACACGGUCCAGACUCCUACGGGAGGCAGCAGUGGGGAAUAUUGGACAAUGGGCGCAAGCCUGAUCCAGCCAUACCGCGUGGGUGAAGAAGGCCUUCGGGUUGUAAAGCCCUUUUGUUGGGAAAGAAAAGCAGCAGGUUAAUACCCCGCUGUUCUGACGGUACCCAAAGAAUAAGCACCGGCUAACUUCGUG